rnacentral:rRNA from 1 species
UACUUGGAUAACUGUGGUAAUUCUAGAGCUAAUACAUGCAUGACGAGCGCAAUUAUUAGACAAAACCAAUUUUGGUGGAUCUGAAUAACUCACAGUCUUCGCACUGGCGACGAAUCUUUCAAGUGUCUGCCUUAUCAGCUGUCGAUGGUAGUCUAUGAGUCUACCAUGGCUGUAACGGGUAACGGAGAAUAAGGGUUCGACUCCGGAGAGGGAGCCUGAGAAACGGCUACCACAUCCAAGGAAGGCAGCAGGCGCGCAAAUUACCCACUCUCGGCGAGGAGGUAGUGACGAAAAAUAACGAGGUGGUUCUCUAACUAUCGGAAUGGGUACAAUUUAAACCCUUUAACGAGGACCUAUGAGAGGGCAAGUCUGGUGCCAGCAGCCGCGGUAAUUCCAGCUCUCAAGGUGUAUAUCGCCAUUGCUGCGGUUAAAAAGCUCGUAGUUGGAUCUACUUCGGAGCCGGUCCACCCAAGUGGUGCGUCGCUGGUCAUCCUUGAUGCUCUUAACCGGGUGUCCUGGGUGGCUAGUGAGUUUACUUUGAAAAAAUUAGAGUGCUCAAGACAGGCUUUAGGCCUGAAUAGUGGUGCAUGGAAUAAUAGAAUAGGAGGUCCAUUUUAUUGGUUUUGGUCCCGAGAUAAUGGUUAAGAGGGACAGACGGGGGCAUUCGUAUCGCUGCGUGAGAGGUGAAAUUCUUGGA